rnacentral:sRNA from 1 species
UCCUAGCCCAGAUAGUAGUGGAAAUCUUUUUUUGUGAAAAAGCUAUUUUUGUUUUUGCAAAAAAGCGACCAAAGGAAGCUCUUUUUGUGACUUACAAAAAUGGGUUGAAACAAGAAAACUUGCAACGUAUAGCUGGAUUGGCU